UGGCCCACCCCCAGAUCUUUGCUCUGGAUCCGUGCCUGAAUGGUACCUACCUAAUAAUAAUAUAACAUUAGAAAUUGUCAAUACGUAUAGCCCAACUCGGAGGGGGCAGCAACCACGGUCUCCUCCCUUGGAUCUUCUCGAAUACAAGUAAUUAUAAAGUGUUUAUUUAGUUUUCGUUAUUCGUCGGUAAUAUACCUGUAGCCUAUAUACAAGCUUAUACCUUAAGGCCCAAGGUGUCAACUCCCAUUUAUGCCUUAUAGUGGUUUUCUA